GACAGAGGGUGCAAACGUUGUUCGGAAUUACUGGGCGUAAAGCGCGUGUAGGCUGCUCGGAAAGUCGGGUGUGAAAGCCCUGGGCUCAACCCAGGAAGUGCACUCGAAACUCCCGAGCUGGAGUCCCGGAGAGGAAGGCGGAAUUCUCGGUGUAGAGGUGAAAUUCGUAGAUAUCGAGAGGAACAUCUGUGGCGAAGGCGGCCUUCUGGACGGUGACUGACGCUGAGACGCGAAAGCGUGGGGAGCAAACAGG
rnacentral:rRNA from 1 species